rfam:Schistosoma haematobium scaffold207_1, whole genome shotgun sequence.
AUUCAGCUGACGAGUUCCAAAUAGGACGAAACACGCGUCAAACUGGCU